rnacentral:rRNA from 1 species
AUGGAGCACGAGCAGGACGAGCUGAGCCUUGAGCUCACCCUGGCCGCCGCGGUCGUGGCGCCGGUGCCUGGCUUCUUCCUAUGCGUUACUGCCACCGCAAGUUCCGCACCUCGCAGGCGCUCGGCGGCCACCAGAACGCGCACAAGGAAGAGCGUGCCGCUAAGCGCCGCCGUGACACUGCAGCCCCCGCCGCGCAUGCUUGGAAGCCAGGGAGGUCUGUGGCAGCUGUUUCGGUGUACGAGGAUCCAGCAGCAGAAGGUGGCAUGCCGCACAAGCGCGGCCUGA